UACAGAGGAGCCAAGCGUUGUCCGGAUUGACUGGGCGUAAAGCGCACGCAGGCGGACGCGCGCGUGGGGUGUGAAAUCUGGCCGCUUAACGGCCAGGCGCCAUCCCAUACGGCGCGUCUGGAGUGAUGCAGAGGUCGGUGGAAUUGCCGGUGUAGUGGUGAAAUGCGUAGAGAUCGGCAGGAACACCCAGGGGGAAACCAGCCGACUGGGCAUCUACUGACGCUGAGGUGCGAGAGCGUGGGGAGCGAACGGG
rnacentral:rRNA from 1 species